rnacentral:rRNA from 1 species
AUUGAACGCUGGCGGCAGGCUUAACACAUGCAAGUCGAGCGGGAUGAUAGUGCUUGCACUAUCACUUAGCGGCGGACGGGUGAGUAAUGCUUAGGAAUCUGCCUAUUAGUGGGGGACAACAUCUCGAAAGGGAUGCUAAUACCGCAUACGUCCUACGGGAGAAAGCAGGGGAUCACUUGUGACCUUGCGCUAAUAGAUGAGCCUAAGUCGGAUUAGCUAGUUGGUGGGGUAAAGGCCUACCAAGGCGACGAUCUGUAGCGGGUCUGAGAGGAUGAUCCGCCACACUGGGACUGAGACACGGCCCAGACUCCUACGGGAGGCAGCAGUGGGGAAUAUUGGACAAUGGGGGGAACCCUGAUCCAGCCAUGCCGCGUGUGUGAAGAAGGCCUUAUGGUUGUAAAGCACUUUAAGCGAGGAGGAGGCUCUUUUGGUUAAUACCCAAGAUGAGUGGACGUUACUCGCAGAAUAAGCACCGGCUAACUCUGUGCCAGCCGCCGCAGUAA